UUGGGAUAGAAGCAUUAACCGACGACUCGCUUCCUCAAGGACUAUCUAUUUGAAGUGCAUUAGCACCGUAUAAAAGCUAUCAAGUGAGAUACAAUUCAUCACUGAAAAAGCUGCCGAGGAAACAACAGGAGAACAACUUAGUAAGGUUCACUUUCACAUCAUAUAAUGGCAUCAAGUAAAACAUUAGUUGCCCUCCUUGUUGUAUUUAUGCUUUGUGGUGUAGUUUUCCAAAGCACUAACGCUUUCCUAAGAAACGGACGAGACGAGAUUUAUGCGCGAAAACGCGGCGAGAUGGGAGUACCACCAUAUAUGGAAUAUGAUGCAGCAGACCUGGCCAGAGCAAGACGAGAAUUCGCCAARAGAACUAAACAGUAGAAUCGAAUCCUAAUUAAAUCAACCAAGCCAGACCACGACAUAAACUCAAAUUGAUGCAUCACCCAGACAAGUUUUGUAAUACAAUGUAAAAAGAAAUAUGAUUUUGCAGUGCAAUUCUGUGGUUCAAAUUAACCAUGAAAUAACUUGUUGACAAAAAUAAAACUUGUCAUUGGA